GAUUAACGACUAUCAGCUGUUUAGUAUGAAGCAUUCUUUGUGUAGCUGUUUGCUUCGUUCGUAAAAAUAGAUCAACGUAUUGUUGUGAUAUUUCACAUGAACCUUGUAAAAACUGCAACUGAAACUUAUAAUUUAUUGAAACAAGUAUAUGUUUGUCAUGUCGACGUGUUUUUGAGUGGUGUAAGUGAUGGCCAAGAAGAUGUUCAGGAUGAAUCACGCCCUUCUACGUCAAAAAUGGAUGAAAACAUCGAAAAAGUCAGUAAUUUUGGUCGAUCUGGUCAUCGACUAAGUAUUCGUGCAAUUGUUAAAUCUAUAGAAAUUGACAAAGAAUGUAUACGACAAAUUUUACAUCAAAAUUUCUUCAAAUUUGAACAAGAAUCUCGAAAAAAAUAUUUGUAUUGACACUUUGAACGUGAUUGAAAAUAACUCAAACUUAUUAGAAAAGGUAAUAACGUAUGAUGAAUCAAAUCUGCAUUUAAAAUAACAAUACGGUAGAUGGAGCGUUGAAAAAAGAUAAUAAAUUAUUAUAUCAUGUCUUCAUAUCAUUUUUCGGAGUUUAUAACAAUUAUAAAGAUGAUGGCUGUUUGUUUGUUUUGCAGUAGAAACGAAGAACUCAAAAAUGAAACUCAUAAUUUAUAGAAACAAGUUUUCUUCAAUGAAUGUUUAUCGCGUCCACGUGUAUUUGAGUAUUUUGAAAAUAUUUAUUAUCACAUCAUCUUUUUUAUGUUUCAGACAUUUACGAAAUUUACAAAAAUUUUAUUCCUGAUUUCUUUAUAAAGAAAUUUACUCCAAAUCUUAUUCUUCUCAAAAACUUAUUUAUAAUUAUCACAGUUCAAUUAUAAAUCGUCCUUUAUCUGUCUAUAGAACACAAAUAAGUAAAUUUAGUAUAAUUGGUGGUGACCCUGCUUCUUAUAUUCGCUGUUCUACAGAUGUCCCAACCACACAAAGGACUCAACCGGUACACCUCCAUCUCAUUCAAUUCAAAUCCAACAACUGGGAAUUAAGUUGAGGGCUGCAACCAUCCCGGAUUUCCAUAGAUGAGUCCCGGUCUAAUUUUUAAUAUAAAAAUAAAUCUGUGUUGUUUUUAAUUUAUAACUGUUUUUAUUCGUUGUGCUCUUUUGGAUACACAGUUUUUUUUAAUAAAUUUAUUUGUUUUUAAA